CUGGCCACAGAGAUUGAUCCAGGAUGGGAACAUGGCCCAUUCAGAACACAUACAAAGCAGUGAAUCUUUGUGACUUCUGGGGAAAACACUAUUGCUUAUUGCUUUUCUCUGCAGUCCUGGGAACUUCACGCAUGACAAAAAAAGGAGAGCCUGUCUAAGGAUGGAGCAUUUCUACAGAAAGUGGAGCUAAAGGAUAGAUCCUGAAGCCUGGGAUCAACUGAUCUGCGUCAUGCUGAGGUAAAAGCAGCAUCAAAUGAAGACACCAUCAACGUGCCUCCAGGAAAUGACAUAAGCAACAGAAAUUGAGUGCAUGACGUUUUUUUCCCUUCUCAGCCGUAUAAAUCCUUCACAGAGGUCAUUUUAAAUGAAGAUAACGAGGCAUAAUCCAUCAAAUGGUGGUUUCCAUAGAGCUCAAUUUGUUAUUAACAGAGGCCCGUGAAAUCAUAAAUGGAGUAACAUUAAAAGGUUAAACUGACCAAAUGCCAUGAAAUUUUGCGAAGACUUUUAUCAUGGCACCUUCAACAUUUUAUUCAAUCUACUGUUUUUCAUGUAUUUUUUCCUCCUAAACAGUAAGGCCUUUCAGGGCAGUGAUUAUUUUGUUCAUUCUUGUAUUUAUCUUGGUACUUGAUAUAUAGUAUGUAUUUAACAACAAUUGUAGAAUAAACAAAUGAAAGCAUGAAUGAAUAAAUGAAUAUACUUAGGACUCUCCUCCUAAUCACCGUCAGCUACUGAUAAUUGCUUGAAAAACUUAUUUUAACGAAAAGGUCACUAUCUCUGUGAAUGUCUUCCUAGGAAAGAUGAGUAGCAUCUUUCUCUGAGUUCCCACACCACUAAUCAUAUUGUUUUCCUAAUUGUGUGGGCUAUUUCCCCAUGUAUCAGGCAAGUUCUCUGAGGAGAUCUUGUUUCACUUAUCCUUAAAUUUACAGUACAUAGUGCAGUUUGCCAACUACAGAAUUAAAACUUAAUAAACAUGAAUUUGAAACUUGCAUUUAACUUGCUAAUGUAUUUUUACUUAGUAACACAAAUUUAUUGCUUACACAGAAAUUAGUAACAUUUAUAAAAACAAUGUAGCAUUUUGUUUUUAAAAUUGCUCAUGUUAAGUCAAAUUUGGAGACAAUCAUUAUCUAGCAAAUUAAUGCAGGAGGAGAAAACCAAAUACUGCAUGUUCUCAUUUAUAAGUGGGAGCUAAACACUGCGCAAACAUGGCCACUAAGAAGGGAACAAUAGACACUGGGGCCUACCUGAGGGUGGAGGGUGGAAUGAGGGUGAGGAUUCAAAAAACUACCUGUUGGGUAUUACGUUCAUUAUCUGGGUGAUGAAAUAAUCUGUAUAUCAAAAUUCUGCAACAUACAAUUUACCCGUGUAACCAAUGCUGCACAUGUGCCCCAUGAACAUAAGUAAAAGUUAGAAGAAAAAAAUAUUUGGAGGCAAUCAAGUAGAACAUGCUUUAAGAGGUGCUAGAUGUUCAGCCUAAAGUGAUCCUUUUUCAUUGUUCAACUUCUGAAAUUAAUAAAAGGAUAUUCUAGGGACAGGUUCAUGAAUAAAUACUUAUAGACGAUUGUUUGCACAUGGUAAUCUGUAGAAGGC
rnacentral:lncRNA from 1 species